rnacentral:rRNA from 1 species
GAUGAACGCUGGCGGCGUGCCUAAUACAUGCAAGUCGAGCGAACGGACGAGAAGCUUGCUUCUCUGAUGUUAGCGGCGGACGGGUGAGUAACACGUGGAUAACCUACCUAUAAGACUGGGAUAACUUCGGGAAACCGGAGCUAAUACCGGAUAAUAUUUUGAACCGCAUGGUUCAAAAGUGAAAGACGGUCUUGCUGUCACUUAUAGAUGGAUCCGCGCUGCAUUAGCUAGUUAGUAAGGUAACGGCUUACCAAGGCAUCGAUGCAUAGCCGACCUGAGAGGGUGAUCGGCCACACUGGAACUGAGACACGGUCCAGACUCCUACGGGAGGCAGCAGUAGGGAAUCUUCCGCAAUGGGCGAAAGCCUGACGGAGCAACGCCGCGUGAGUGAUGAAGGUCUUCGGAUCGUAAAACUCUGUUAUUAGGGAAGAACAUAUGUGUAAGUAACUGUGCACAUCUUGACGGUACCUAAUCAGAAAGCCACGGCUAACUACGUG